CCUACGGGUGGCAGCAGUGGGGAAUAUUGCACAAUGGGGGGAACCCUGAUGCAGCAAUGCCGCGUGAAGGAUGAAGGUUUUCGGAUGGUAAACUUCUUUUGUACGGGACGAAGAAUGUGACGGUACCGUAAGACUAAGCCACGGCUAACUACGGGCUCGCAGCCGCGGGAAUACGUAGGUGGCAAGCGUUAUCCGGAUUUACUGGGUGUAAAGGGCGAGUAGGCGGGAUGGCAAGUCAGAUGUGAAAACUAUGGGCUCAACCGAUAGAGUGCAUUUGAAACUGCAGUUCUUGAGUGAGGGGGAGGCGGGCGGAAUUCCCGGUGUAGCGGUGGAAUGCGUAGAUAUCGGGAGGAACACCAGUGGCGAAGGCGGCCUGCUGGACAGUAACUGACGCUGAGGCGCGAAAGCGUGGGGAGCAAACGGGAUUAGAUACCCCAGUAGUC
rnacentral:rRNA from 1 species